rnacentral:rRNA from 1 species
AUUGAACGCUGGCGGCAGGCCUAACACAUGCAAGUCGAGCGGAGCGGCGGACGGGUGAGUAAUGCCUAGGAAUCUGCCUGUGAGUGGGGGAUCCCUUACGGAGACGGGCGCUUAUACCACAUACUAUCAGUUGAGCCUAGGUCGGCUUAGCUGGUUGGUGGGGUAAAGGCCUACCAAGGCGACGAUCCGUAACUGGUCUGAGAGGAUGAUCAGUCACACUGGAACUGAGACACGGCCCAGACUCCUACGGGAGGCAGCAGUGGGGAAUAUGGCGCAAUGGGCGCAAGCCUGAAGCAGCCAUGCCGCGUGUAUGAAGAAGGCAUUCGGGUUGUAAAAUACUGUCGGCAGGGAAGCGUUAUCCGCAGAAGAAGCAACGGCUAACUCCGUGCCAGCAGCCGCGGUAAUUC